rnacentral:lncRNA from 1 species
CUCUUUGAUCCAACAAUCCCACACCUAGGAACUUGACCAAAGCAAACCAUUCUCAAGAGGAAAGAAAGUUAUUUGAAAAUCUUAGCUCAGGCGGGGCGCAUGCCUGUAAUCCCAGCACCUUGGGAGGCCAAGGCGGAUGGAUCACGAGGUCAGGAGUUCGAGACCAGCCUGGCCAACAUGGUGAAACCCUGUUUCUACUAAAAAUACAAAAAAUUAGCCAGGCAUGGUAGCACACACCUGUAAUCCCAGCUACUCGGGAAACUGAGGCAGGAGAAUUGCUUGAACCCAGGAGGCAGAGGUUGCAGUAAGCUGAGAUCACGCCAUUGCACUCCAGCUUGGGCAACAAGAGCAAAACUCCAUCUAAAAAAAAAAAAUUAGCUGAAGUUUUUUUUUUGUUUUCUUUUUUUUUUUUUUUUUUUUUUUUUUUUUGAGACACAGUCUCACUCUGUCACCCAGGCUGGAGUGCAGUGACACGAUCUCAGCUCACUGCAACCUCCACCUCCCAGGUUCAAGAGAUUCUCCUGUCUCAGCCUCCUGAGUAGCUGGGACUACAGGCAUGAGUCAAUUUUUGUAUUUUUAGUAGAGAAGGGGUUUCAUCAUGUUGGCCAGGCUGGUCUGGAACUUCUGACCUCAAGCGAUCUGCCUGCCUCAGCCUCCAAAAGUGCUGGGAUUACAGGUGUUAGCCACCACACCUGGCCUAAUUUUUGUGUUUUUAGUAGAGGCAGUGGUUUCACCAUGUUGGCCAGGCUGGUCUCGAACUCCUGACCUCAGGUGAUCCACCCACCUCGGCCUCCCAAAGUGCUGGGAUUACAGGCGUUAGCCACUGUGCCCAGCCCACCACAGUUUUAUUUGUAAAAUCUGGAAAGCAAUAUAGUAUAGUGGAAAGAGUGUUACCAGAAAGGGGUCCCCAUCCAGACCACAAGAGUGGGUUCUCAGACCUCACACAAGAAAGAAUUCAGGGUGAAUCCAUACAGUAAUGUGAAAGCAAGUUUAUUAAGAAAGUAAAUGAAUAAAUAAUGGCUACUCCAUACGCAUAGCAGCAGCUUGGGAUGCUUGAUUGAUAAUACUUAGUUACUUCUUGAUUAUGUGCUAAACAAGAGGUGGACUGUUCAUGAGUUUUCCAGGAAAGAGGGGGGUAAUUAUUGGAACUGAGAGUCCCCUCCCCCUUUCUAGACCAUAUAGGAUGACUUCUGUAAAACGUCAUGGCACUGGCGGGAGUGUCUCUUAGCAUGCUAAUGCAUUAUAAUGAAGCAGCGUUAUUUGUCUGGGGUAAUACCAGAGGUUUGUUGCCCCACACCUGGAGAAAUUGAGGAUGCAGACACACACAAGGAGUGAGGUUAAGAGUGGAGGUUUAGUAGGCAAAAGAAAGAGUAAAGCUCUUUCUGCUGCAGAGAGGGAGGGGCUCUUAAGUUGGUCUUCUAGUCUCGUGGUGAAAUGCAGGGGAUUUUUACAGACAAGCUUGAGGAGGUGGUAUCUGAUUUACCUAGGGCCCAAGAGAUUGACUGGACCAGGUGUGCCAUUUGCAUAGCAUGCAAAGAAGCUGGCCAUCCCACCCUAAUCUCUUCGUUUCUUUUUUUUUUUUUUUUUGAGACAGGGUCUCACUCUGUCGCCCAGACUGGAGUGCAGUGGCGCAAUCUCAGCUAACCACAACCUCUGCCUCCCAAGCUCAAGCGAUUCUCUUGCCUCAGCCUCCUGAGUAGCUAGGAUUACAGGCGUGGGCCACUACCACUCAGCUAAUUUUUGUAUUUUUAGUAGAGAGAGGGUUUCACCAUGUUGGCCAGGCUGGUCUCAAACUCCUGACCUCAGGUGAUCCGCCUGCCUUGGCCUCCCAAAGUGCUGGCACUACAGGUGUGAGCCACCGCGCCCAACCCCACCCUAAUCUUUUAUUAUGCAAAUGGAGUCUCUACCUGGCCGUCUCCAUGUUGCCUGCUUUUUUACUGCACACGUGGCGACAAAGAAAAGGGAAGAGGGAACUUCCAUGUUGAAUAUACCUGGCUUCCAGGUAUCCCUUUUCUAUUGGCACAGCUGUCAGCAUUUACCUAUGCAAGCUUUUAGCUUGCUUAUCUAUGUUUGCAGCUUGAUUUUUCAGGCUGCUUUCUGUUAGAAAAGAAAUGAUUUGGGGGCUGCUUUUUAUUAAAAGGUAACCUUACUGAAGACUCUCUUACCCUCACUAUCUGCCUAAAUAAUUUCUUUCUAGCUCCUGUAUCAAUAAUUAGCAUAUAAUGAGCAGUGAGGACAACCAGAGGUCACUCUCAUUGCCAUGUUGGUUUUGGUGACUUUUGGCUGGCUUUACCGCAUCCUGUUUUAUCAGCAAGGUCCUUGUGACCUGUAUCUUGUGCUGACCUCUUAUCUCAUCCUGUGACUAAGAAUACCUAACCUGGGAAUGCAGCCCAGCAGGUCUCAGCCUUAUUUCACCCAGCCCCUAUUCAAAAUGGAGUCACUCUGGUUUGAAUGCCUCUGACAAGAGUAAAAAGUUUCAUUUCAAAAAAAGAAUGGACUCAAAUUCCGGUUGUCUCCCGAUCCUUCCCUUGUCACCUUAUGGCUUCUUCAUUUCCACCCUGUAAUUGCCUGUAAUAGUGAAGUACAUUCACCUUGCAAGCUUUAGGAAAGAUUGAACAAAAGGUAUUUACACAACUGUGUUGUAACUGACUAUAAAAGACAAUUUUAUUAUUUUGAUCAUCAAAAGGAAGACAUGGGAAGAGCCCAUACUGCCAACAAUAAGAAAAAUUUAAGUCACUUAUAAUACAACCACUGCUGUGGAAAACUAUAGCCACUAGGGGCUAUAAUUACGAAGAUAAUGGAUCAAUCCAAAAAAAAAAAAAAAAACACUCCUGAUUCUUUCGGGCAGACAACAAAAUGAUAUAAUUAUGUAAAAAUUAUGCCAUGAAUGAGAACAGGAAAGAAAGAUAGAAUAAAAUGAAGACAGCUUCUGCAUUUGGGAGGUAGAAUUGCAGGCAGUCUUUGUUUAUCUUAUUAUCACUAUGAUUUGUUUGUACAAUAAAUAAGAGUUAGACUUGGGGAGAAUCACUACUGAAUUUUAUCAAAAGCCUCGUCCUAUCUACUGAGAUAACAGCAUGUUUCAUUACUUUUCCCAUAGAUUGUGGUAAUAGCUUUCCUUCCAUUACCCCAGCCUCGGUCUCCUAGGUGAACAUCUACCAGAUCCUAGUGCAUUCCAUUUAAUUCAAGCCUGAGAACUUUUACUGAGCAACUACUUUGUACCAAGUUCUGCCGCUAAGAGAGGAAGAGGUCAAUGGGGGAUAUUACCUUGGUGAGGGUCCAAUCCAGGACCCCAGGACCAGAGAGGGGCCCACAGGGGAAAGAGAAGGGCUGGGGCCUUCACAGAAGGCAAGUAGAAUGGGCAGAGUGAGGCCAUGAGGGGAAGCACUUUGCCAUGAGUGUCAGAGCUUAGCAUGGGGCUUGGCACAUAGUGGGUGCCCAAUAAACAUUUUAUGAAUUGAACUGAACUGUAUUGCAUGGGGGAGUCUCACUCCCAUCCCCAACCUCUCUUACUCCAGACCAGCAUCAGGGACAAGCCCUUGCCCUCCCAGCAACUGAAACCACCUUUGCAAAAUUAUGACUGAGACAGUGAAAGAGAUCUAACUUCACUGACUCCAUCUUGUUUCUAACCUCCAAGCUGUCUUCGUUCAUUCCUGGGCAUAGGCUGAACUAACUUUGGGAGAAAUUUAGUUUAUAGUUUAAACAAAAGCGACUAGAUUGCCUUUGUAGGACUAACAUUAGCCACAAGAUUAGAAAUUACGGUUUUAGGAGUCAUGCAGCUGGAGGCUACAAGAUUCUGACCCUCCCUAAACUGCUCCUAAGACCAGUGCUUGAGAUAUUUUACAGACCCUGCAUUUGAUAGAGCAGCUGGCCCCACCCAGACUGAUAAACUGGCUCAUCUAAUCUUGUGGCUCCUCCCACCCAGGAACUGACUCAGUGCAAGAAGACAGCAUGUACCCACUACGAUUUUAUCUCUGACAAAUCAGCACUCCCGGGUCACUGGCUCAACUCACCCACCAAGUAGUCCUUAAAAACUCUGCUCUCCUUGGCCAGGCGUGGUGCAGGAUGGAAUUUGAUUUCCUUUAGGGACCUCAGGCAAGUCACUAGCUCUUCAUGGUACUCAGUCUCUCAUCCCCUCAAGGGCUGCCCGACAGCCUCUUCCAGCCCUGACAUUUGUGAUUCCGGUGUCUGUUGUGAGAGUGGGUGCUGGUAACAGCCCUGUGCACUCUUAACUCAGGAAAGAUUCCAUUUAGAUUCCUUGUUGGAAACAUGUUGGCUUUCUUGUGGAAGGCGACGAUUUAUGCUGAAAGUCGCCUCUGCAGUAGGAAGCUAAGAUUUCCCUCCCUGCCCCAUUUUUUUCCCAACUCCUCAAGACUCAUUUGGCCUGAGUGCAACAGAAUAAAAGAGGAAAGUUUAGUAUCAGCUUCACCGGGUUCAUUUUGCAAACCUCACUUAGAUUUAGCAUUAGGUUUAGGGCUAGAGUAGGGCUUAUGGUAGAGUUAGGAUUGAAGCUAGGGCUGUUUUUAGGAUUAGGAUUUGAUUUAGGGGUAGGGUUAGGGAUAGGACUAGAGUUAAGUUAGGGUUAAGUGAUGGCUACGGCUAGGAUUCAGGCUAGGUUUAGGGUUAUGAGCAGGAUUAGUCUUAGGGUUAGGGAUAAGGGUAGGGCUAAAACCAGGGCUAGGAUUAGAGAUAUUUGUAGGCUUAAUUUUGUGUAUAUGUAUAUAGAUAGAUAGAUAGAUAGAUAGAUAGAUAGAUAGAUAGAUAGAUAUACACACACACACAUAUAUAUAUAAUUGUGUGUGUGUGUGUGUGUGUAUAUAUAUAUAUAUAUAUAUAUAUAUUUUUUUUUUUUUUUUUUUUUUUUUUUUUUGAGACAGAAUCUCGCUCUGUUGCCCAGGCUGGAGUGCAGUGGCUCAAUUUCGGCUCACUGCAACCUCCACUUCCCGGGUUUAAACAAUUCUUGUGCCUCAACCACCCGAGUAGCUGGGACUACAGGCAUACUCCAUCAUGCCCGGCUAUUUUUUGUAUUUUUAGUAGAGACGGGGUUUCACCAUGUUGGCCAAGCUGGUCUCAAACUCCUGGCCUCAAGUGAUCCACCUGCCUUGGUCUCCCAAUGUGCUGGGAUUGCAGGUGUGAGCCACUGCACCUGGCCAGUAGGCUUAAUUUUAGGAUUAAAAUUGAUGGAUUUGCUUGGUCAGGGAUCCAUCAUCUCCUUGUGGUGCUUCUUCCUUCUGACUCUUUAGCAGUCUUCUGUACCCUGCAAAGCCACAGGGGCAGAGCUGCCCAAGGCCAUGGGAGCCCACCUCUUGCACCAGCAUGACCUGGAUGUGAGACGUGGAGUCAAAGGAGAUCAUUUCAGAACUUUAAGAUUUGACUGCCAGCCAGGCGUGGUGGCUCACACCUGUAAUCCCAGCACUUUGGGAGGCCAAGGUGGGCGGAUCAUGAGGUCAGGAG